rnacentral:rRNA from 1 species
AUACGGAGGGUGCAAGCGUUGUUCGGAUUUACUGGGCGUAAAGCGCGCGUAGGCGGCUACUUAAGUCAGAUGUGAAAUCCCCGGGCUCAACCUGGGAACUGCAUCUGAUACUGGGUAGCUAGAGUUUAGGAGAGGGAAGUAGAAUUUCAGGUGUAGCGGUGAAAUGCAUAGAGAUCUGAAGGAAUACCAGUGGCGAAGGCGGCUUCCUGGCCUAAAACUGACGCUGAGGUGCGAAAGCGUGGGUAGCAAACGGGAUUAGAAACCCCGGUAGUCC